rnacentral:rRNA from 1 species
CCCCUAGAUGUUCUGGGCCGCACGCGCGCUACACUGAACAGUUCAACAAGUCUUAACCUUGGCCGAUAGGUCUGGGUAAUCUUUGAACGCUGUUCGUGAUUGGGAUAGACCUUUGCAAUUAUGGGUCUUCAACGAGGAAUUCCUAGUAGACGCAAGUCAUCAGCUUGCAUUGAUUACGUCCCUGCCCUUUGUACACACCGCCCGUCGCACCUACCGAUUGAAUGGUCCGGUGAAAUCUCGGGACGGCGGCUUGGUCGCUUGCGUCCGACUGCUGAAACUUGAUUAAACCAUAUCAUUUAGAGGAAGGUGAANUCGUAACA